rnacentral:piRNA from 1 species
UCAUGCUAUGCACCGUCUCCUCCCUCAACGC